AGUGGCCCAAGAAAAGUGUCCGAUAGACCUAUUCAGAUCGCAGCCGAAAAGACAGCUAACGAUUAGCGGGCCGCAGAUGGGCGAUCAGGUUACGUCGCGACGGAGGGGCCAGUUGGAUAACUCCCUCGGGCAGAUAACGUCGGUGGUCCAGUCGUGAAGACCCGAUGGGGCUCCGCAUCGGCAGUAAAACGGGUCAGGAUAGAGAAGAUGAGUAUACACUUCCCUGUUGCGUCUUGGUCCUCCACACACGACAAUCGUUACAGAACUACCCACCACAACCGGACCAAGCAACAGAAGAGGAAGCAGCCAAGGAAGCAGGAGGACUACAGGGAAUCGUGGUCAUGGGAGGAAAUCCUGGCGGGAGAAGGUCCGUGGCGAAGGAACGGUGAGGACCGGGAGAAGUACGUUGGCACGAGGCUAGCAAGGAAGCCUGAGAGGCAGCCCCAAUAAAUGUUUUUGGGGGGCACACGGGGUGGGUGGCUGGGCAAAGGAUGCCCCUGAAGCCAACACCUCGUGCUUAUUAUGGGGAGCACAUGGAGUGGAGAGCGCCGAAGUACGAAGAGGUACGCAAGAUCUCGCCCAUGCGCAUGCACAGUCCGGUGCGUGUGAUCUCAGCCCCAAGCAAAGGCCGUGCUAGAGUGGGCAUCCAGCCUGGAAGGAGGAUGCCAGCCCAAUAAGUCUGGCCACCGGUACGCCUCCGAAGUCCAGGCUACAGGACACCUCCUCUACGCACGGCGACCAUCAGGCCCCUGCAUAGCCCAGUCCGCCCUGUACCAGCACCCCGAAUGUACAGGGCUACUACUGCCAUCCAGCCAGGAUGGGUUGUGCAGAAGGUGAGCUCGAGACUUCCAGUACUCACCCAAGGCCCGGUGUAUCCUAUUCCUGCGCCACGCACAAGCCUACAGGUGCGUGUAUCCAGUCUGGCUCUUCCGAAGCCAGCACCGCGCACCAGGCAUCCCGAGCAGCAGCCUAGUCCAGCUCGACCUAUCCCUGCUCCCCGCACAAGCCUACAGGUGCGUGUCUCUAGUCUGACUCCCCCGAAGCCAGCACCACGCACCAGGCUCCCAGUGCGGCAGCCUAGUCCAACUCGUCCUACUCUUGCCCCUAGCACUAGCCCUGAGGUACGUGGGCCUAGUCCGGCCUCCCCUACGCCAGCCCCACGUACCAGGCCUUCAGUGCAUGCGCCUCGCCCAGAUGGCACAGCGACAGCGUCUCGCCCAGAGUGCCCAGCGCCUAACCCAGAGUGCCCGACGACAGUGCCUCAGCCCGAGUGUCCGGCACCUAUGCCCGAGAGAGAGUCGCCCUCCAGUCCGACGCAGCCAGAGUCGCCCGUAGCGAGGAUCCGUCCCGCUCCAGAGCCACCUCCGUAGGGACUAGUAUGCGGG
rnacentral:lncRNA from 1 species